GGAAGGAUCAUUACCGAGUAUUGGGGUUCCUUUUGGGCCCCUACUCCCACACCAUGUGUACCUUACCUUACCGUUGCCUCGGCGAGCCGCCCUUUCUGGGCGCCGGGCCCCUCGUGGGUCCGGAGAGCGCUCGCCGGAGGACCAACCAAAACUCUUUGUGUUAACCGACGCAGUCUGAGUAUAAUUCUUUGAAUUAAAUUAAAACUUUCAACAACGGAUCUCUUGGUUCUGGCAUCGAUGAAGAACGCAGCGAAAUGCGAUAAGUAAUGUGAAUUGCAGAAUUCAGUGAAUCAUCGAAUCUUUGAACGCACAUUGCGCCCUUUGGUAUUCCGAGGGGCAUGCCUGUUCGAGCGUCAUUUCAAACCUCAAGCUUCUGCUUGGUAUUGAGCGGCUCGCCUUCGGAAACGGAGGCGCCCUCGAAACUCGUGGGCGGUGAUGUCCAGCGUCGUAGCGUAGUCAUAAAACAAUUCCGCUUCCGAUUGCUCCUGGACGAUUCACCCGCCGGGCGAACCGAUGCCUCUAGCGUCACAUUUUUUUCAAGGUUUGACCUCGGAUCAGGUAAGGAUACCCGCUGAACUUAAGCAUAUCAAUAAGCGGAGGAAAAGAAACCAACAGGGAUUGCCUCAGUAACGGCGAGUGAAGCGGCAAUAGCUCAAAUUUGAAAUCUGGCUCUUUCAGGGUCCGAGUUGUAAUUUGCAGAGGAUGCUUCGGCUUCGGCCCCGGUCUAAGUUCCUUGGAACAGGACGUCACAGAGGGUGAGAAUCCCGUACGUGAUCGGCGGCCUUCGCCAUGUGAAGCUCCUUCGACGAGUCGAGUUGUUUGGGAAUGCAGCUCUAAAUGGGAGGUAAAUUUCUUCUAAAGCUAAAUAUUGGCCAGAGACCGAUAGCGCACAAGUAGAGUGAUCGAAAGAUGAAAAGCACUUUGGAAAGAGAGUUAAAAAGUACGUGAAAUUGUUGAAAGGGAAGCGCUUGCAAUCAGACUUGCCCGCGGUUGCUCAACCGGUCUCUUGACCGGUGCACUCUUCCGCGGUCAGGCCAGCAUCAGUUCGGGCGGUCGGAUAAAGGCUUUGGGAAUGUGGCACUCCUCGGAGUGUGUUAUAGCCCUUUGCGUAAUGCGGCCCGCCUGGACUGAGGUCCGCGCUUCGGCUAGGAUGCUGGCGUAAUGGUUGUAAGCGGCCCGUCUUGAAACACGGACCAAGGAGUCUAACAUCUAUGCGAGUGUUUGGGUGUCAAACCCGUACGCGAAAUGAAAGUGAACGGAGGUGGGAACCUUAGGGUGCACCAUCGACCGAUCCUGAUGUCUUCGGAUGGAUUUGAGUAUGAGCAUAGCUGUUGGGACCCGAAAGAUGGUGAACUAUGCCUGAAUAGGGUGAAGCCAGAGGAAACUCUGGUGGAGGCUCGCAGCGGUUCUGACGUGCAAAUCGAUCGUCAAAUUUGGGUAUAGGGGCGAAAGACUAAUCGAACCAUCUAGUAGCUGGUUCCUGC
rnacentral:misc_RNA from 1 species